rnacentral:rRNA from 1 species
UACGUAGGGACCGAGCGUUGUCCGGAUUCAUUGGGCGUAAAGAGCUCGUAGGCGGCUGUUCAAGUCGAACGUGAAAACUCGGAGCUCAACUCCGAGCCUGCGUUCGAUACUGGACGGCUAGAGUCUGGUAGGGGGAUCUGGAAUUCCUGGUGUAGCGGUGGAAUGCGUAGAGAUGUGGAGGAACACCGAUGGCGAAGGCAGCCUUCUGGGCCAACACUGACGCUCAUGCACGAAAGCGUGGGGAGCAAACAGG